UACACUGACGUCAUCCGAGGUCACCAAGAUGGCAGCGUUUGACAACUAGCCGGUUUUCUCAUAAGAGUCAAUGCUAAUAUUUUCGGAAUUCAUUUAAAUUUGAGAGUGUGUCAACUGUGUUUUUAUAGUUUGGAGAAAAUGCCUACAUUUUGUGCUGUUGUGGGUUGCGCGAAUCGAAGCACCAGAAAUGCGGACAAAUUUUAUUUUCCUUUCCCAGCAAUUAGCAACAAUAAAGGUAAAUAUAUACAGGAUGGGGAAAAAGGCGGAAGCUUUGGUUAAAAGCCUUGAAACGAGUGGAUUUAGCGAAGCCAAAGUAAAGUAUUCCUAUAUUUGUUCGGACCAUUUUAUUUUAGGUAAACCUGCAGAUUUGUCGGUUGUGGACCACCCUGAUUAUAUUCCAUCACAAAAUUUAGGAUAUCAAAAUAAAUCCACUCAAUAUUUGUAAUGUUGAAAGACACAGUUGUUUAAAAAAGAGAAAACUGAAUAAAUGGCUCUAGACUUUUGAA